GACGAACGCUGGCGGCGUGCUUAACACAUGCAAGUCGAACGGUAAGGCCCUUCGGGGUACACGAGUGGCGAACGGGUGAGUAACACGUGGGUGAUCUGCCCUGCACUUCGGGAUAAGCCUGGGAAACUGGGUCUAAUACCGGAUAGGACCACUGCCUGCAUGGGUGGGGGGGGAAAGCUUUUGCGGUGUGGGAUGGGCCCGCGGCCUAUCAGCUUGUUGGUGGGGUGAUGGCCUACCAAGGCGACGACGGGUAGCCGGCCUGAGAGGGUGACCGGCCACACUGGGACUGAGAUACGGCCCAGACUCCUACGGGAGGCAGCAGUGGGGAAUAUUGCACAAUGGGCGCAAGCCUGAUGCAGCGACGCCGCGUGAGGGAUGACGGCCUUCGGGUUGUAAACCUCUUUCAGCACCGACGAAGCGAAAGUGACGGUACCUGCAGAAAAAGCACCGGCUAACUACGUGCCAGCCGCCGCUGUAA
rnacentral:rRNA from 1 species